GUGAGGUAACGGCUCACCAAGGCGACGACGGGUAGCCGGCCUGAGAGGGUGACCGGCCACACUGGGACUGAGACACGGCCCAGACUCCUACGGGAGGCAGCAGUGGGGAAUAUUGCACAAUGGGCGCAAGCCUGAUGCAGCAACGCCGCGUGGGGGACGAAGGCCUUCGGGUUGUAAACCCCUUUUAGCAGGGAAGAAGCGCAAGUGACGGUACCUGCAGAAAAAGCACCUGCUAACUACGUGCCAGCAGCCGCGGUAAUACGUAGGGUGCAAGCGUUGUCCGGAAUUAUUGGGCGUAAAGAGCUCGUAGGCGGUGUGUCGCGUCUGCUGUGAAAAUCCAAGGCUCAACCUUGGACCUGCAGUGGGUACGGGCACACUAGAGUGCGGUAGGGGAGAUUGGAAUUCCUGGUGUAGCGGUGGAAUGCGCAGAUAUCAGGAGGAACACCGAUGGCGAAGGCAGAUCUCUGGGCCGUAACUGACGCUGAGGAGCGAAAGCGUGGGGAGCGAACAGGAUUAGAUACCCUGGUAGUCCACGCCGUAAACGGUGGGAACUAGAUGUGGGGUCCGUUCCACGGAUUCCGUGUCGCAGCUAACGCAUUAAGUU
rnacentral:rRNA from 1 species